CUGAGGUCACAUAAAUCCGUCUGACUCUGUCUGCAUGUUCAGCCACGCUGGUCCGUUCUGGCUUCCUUCCCUGGAGAGAGAGCUGCCUUCAGCCGUUACCAAUGGCCGCCCAAAGAUCCAGCCCGGAGGAUCCGUCCGGUCUCCAGCACGGGCCGUUCCAGACACCGACCGAGAGGGCCCGGCUGGCGGCCGCCGUGCAUCAGGUUUUUGGGGGGCAACCGUGGGGCGGCUGCUGCUCAGACGUUCUCUCGGAGGUCCUGCCGGAAGCAGGGCAAAGGUGCUCUCUGAAGCUGCAGCUUUUCUGGGACUUCCAGCUUCUGGACUCUGACCACGACGGCUACCUCUCCUCCCGAGAGGCUGAGCUUUUGCUGGCCCAGGUUCCGGGGGCACAGGCCACGGGAGAGGCCGGGCAACGGUUCCUCCAGAGCCGCAGGCCUGGCGUGGCCUGGAGGGACAUCGAGGACUGGCUCUCCCGGGGUCCCCCGCUGCCUCCCGAUGGAGCCGGCACACAUUCAAGGAGGAGUUACUACAGCGGGCAGGGUGCUGGUAGCCAGGUGAGCACCCCUCUGCCUCUCUGGGGUGCAAGAAGACAGACGGAACCACUCCUUGAACGGUGGGACCCGGGAGGUUUCGCCGCCCCGCUUGGGGAGCAGUUUUCGGGAACGGUGGCAGAGCUGGAACGCAAAUACCGUGUGCUUCGGAGGAGGCUCUGCGCCGAGAUGUUGCAGGCGCAUUAUGGUGAGCUGUGA
rnacentral:lncRNA from 1 species